rnacentral:misc_RNA from 1 species
GAUGAAGAACGUAGUGAAAUGCGAUAAGUAAUGUGAAUUGCAGAAUUCAGUGAAUCAUCGAAUCUUUGAACGCACAUUGCGCCCGCCAGUAUUCUGGCGGGCAUGCCUGUUCGAGCGUCAUUACAACCCUCAGGCCCCCGGGCCCGGCGUUGGGGAUCGGCGGAGCCCCCCGUGGGCACACGCCGUCCCCCAAAUGCAGUGGCGGUCCCGCCGCAGCUUCCAUCGCGUAGUAGCUAACACCUCGCGACUGGAGAGCGGCGCGGCCACGCCGUAAAACACCCAACUCUUCUGAAGUUGACCUCGAAUCAGGUAGGAAUACCCGCUGAACUUAAGCAUAUCAAUAAGCGGAGGA